rnacentral:lncRNA from 1 species
AUUUAGUGAAUACCAAAUUUUAGCAAUAACUAUUUCUAAAUUACUUAAUGAAUAAUUAUGUCCUACUAUUUUGCUAUUAUGAAAUAUUAAUAGAUACAGUACAGUAUAUACAUAAAUGAUUAAAUAUGCUUACCUUGCUUUGUUUGUGGGAAAUCCAAAAAGAGACACUUCGUUUGUUUUGGCUUCUUCUCUGCACAAAAUGCACAUUCUUUUUCUUUGAUUCUCCAUCUCUUCAAUUAAUAAAGAUGAAAUUGAAAAAUGUAAUUCAAAUUUCUUUUGUGCGAAAAAGCGAAUAUAGAAACAACGAUAGCACGUGGACCGGAUGUCUAAUCUAUGGUUAGCACAUGGGUAUAAUGAUGCAAUAUUGAAAAGUCAUCAUUACAUAAUUCUAUUUCAUUCAUAAAUAUUACACAUUGUAC